AGCCCGCGGCGGCGGCGGCGGCUGCAGUGAAGAAAUGGCGGAGACUGUGGCGGACACCCGGCGGCUGAUCACCAAGCCGCAGAACCUGAAUGAUGCCUACGGGCCGCCCAGCAACUUCCUAGAGAUCGAUGUGAGCAACCCGCAGACGGUGGGGGUUGGCCGGGGCCGCUUCACCACCUACGAAAUCAGGGUCAAGACAAAUCUGCCUAUUUUCAAGCUGAAGGAAUCUACUGUUAGAAGAAGAUACAGUGACUCUGAAUGGCUGCGAAGUGAAUUAGAAAGAGAGAGCAAGGUUGUAGUCCCCCCGCUCCCUGGAAAAGCGUUUUUGCGUCAGCUUCCUUUUAGAGGAGAUGAUGGAAUAUUUGAUGACAAUUUUAUUGAAGAAAGGAAGCAAGGGCUGGAGCAGUUUAUAAACAAGGUCGCUGGUCAUCCUCUGGCACAGAAUGAACGUUGUCUUCACAUGUUUUUACAGGACGAAAUUAUAGAUAAAAGCUAUACUCCAUCUAAAAUAAGACAUGCCUGAAAUUUGGUGAGAAGGGGCAAAACAAAAAACAAAACCAAAAAAAACCUUUCCAUGACUGUUAUUCAUAUGCACCAGUGAAGAAGUUCUAACUUUUAGCAUGCUGCACAGAAACUGGUAUAACAUGCCUUCAGUAUACUAACCUUCAUAUGCUCUGUUUUGUUUUGUUUUGUUUUGUUUUGGCAGUUGACAAGAAGUUAAUUUGCUUUAGUGAAAAAUCCCUCAUUCCAGCCUUUCUAUAUAAAUAGGUCUUCCUUGCUGUUUUAUUGUGGUACCCACUAUGGCCUCACAGACCUGUUACUCCAGUAUAACCCGCAGUGUCCUAACUAAAGUUACUGACUUGGUCUUAUCUGCACA